AACAUUUCGUGAAUAUAUUUACAAAUAUUUAGGAAAUAGGUGUACAUUCAGUAAUAUUUUCAGUAAUAUUUUUCAGUAAUAUUUUUAAGAACUAGGGGAUGUGAGAGCGAUCUGGCUGUGACUUCUAUCACCCUAUUGAUCGCCGGGGCUGAUCUGGCUAGUGCCCGAAUGAGUAUGUUCCAAAAAUUAUUUCAGAAAAAACCAGCAAAUAAAUUACAGAAACUUAACUGCACAUUAUGUUCUUUCCACCCUUUGUUUUUCAUCUCUGACCCACUAUCUGCAUAGGCAAGAUACUUGCCUAGGCAGGACAAACUAUGUUUUUUGGAUAAGAUUCAUGAGGCUUUUCCUUGCAGUCCAUCUGUUGGGUCCUCUGCCUGAGGGCAGAAAGAGCUGUUCUGCACCAUUAAUAAAACUGCUUUCCUCCCUUUCCUAUCUUAUGAGCUGAACUAAACUUUACAAUUCUUUUCUAAAGUAAUUUAAUACUAUUUUUAUUUAACGACAUAUCUUUCUUGAUAGUUGCUGCAAAAGAGACCAGCUAUUUUCAGGAUUGGGGGACAAUUUUUCUUUUCUUUUUUUAAACCAACUGAAGAAAGAUCUAAUUAAAAUAUGUUUUUGCAUCAAAGGGAUUUGAGAAUUAGAAAACAAGAUAACCCUCAAAAUGGAGAGUUCUUUGCCUAUAUUAAAUUUAGUUUAGAUUGUGCCUUGGGAUGUCUGUCUGUCUGUCUAUCUAUCCAUCCAUCCAUGUAUUUAUCUGUCUUGGUCUGAUUAUUUACUGUUUGAGUCCAAUUAGAAAAACAAAGCUCACACUCAGUAACUUAAUCAAAAGAAUUUAAUAUAGGAAACAAAUACCAAAAGUGUUAGAAGAGCUAACGGUCAAACAGGGAAUGGU
rnacentral:lncRNA from 1 species